rnacentral:rRNA from 1 species
GGACUACACGGGUAUCUAAUCCCGUUCGCUCCCCUGGCUUUCGCGUCUCAGCGUCAGGUGGGGUCCAGGAGCCCGCUUUCGCCACGGGCGUUCCUUCCGAUCUCAACGCAUUUCACCGCUCCACCGGAAGUUCCGGCUCCCCCUACCCCCCUCCAGGUCGGUCGUAUCGAGGCCCGUUCCCCGGUUGAGCCGGGGGCUUUCAGCCGUCGACGUGCCGACCCGCCUACACGCGCUUUAAGCCCAGUGAUUCCGAAUAACGUUCGCACGGUUCGUCUUACCGCGGCUGCUGGCAC